AACUAAGAAUUUGAUCCUGGUUCAGGGUGAAUGCUAGCGGUGUGCCUAAGGUAUGCAAGUCGAACGAUUCUGCAGCAAUGCAAAGUAGUGGCGAACGGCUGAGUAACACGUGGGAAUCUACCCCUAAGUAAGGCAUAGCCCCUCGAAAGAGGGAGUAAUUCCUUAUGUGAAGGAAACUUCAAAGCGGCAACGCGCUUGGGGAUGAGCCUGCGGCCUAUCAGGUAGUUGGUAAGGUAAAAGCCUACCAAGCCUAUGACGGGUAGCUGGUGUUAGCGCAUGACCAGCCAGAAGGGCACUGAGACACGGGCCUUACUCCUACGGGAGGCAGCAAUCGGGAAUCUUCCACAAUGGACGAAAGUCUGAUGGAGCGACACCGCGUGAGGGAUGACGGCCCUCGGGUUGUAAACCUCGUUAUAAGCACCGGCUAACUACGUGCCAGCAGCAGCGGUCACACGUAGGGUGCAAGCAUUACCCGGUCUUACUGGGCGUAAAGAGUUCUGUAGGCGGCUAGAUAAGUUGGUGGUCAAAUACCUCGGCUCAACCGAGGAAAGGCUGUCAAUACUGUUUGGCUAGGAGGCGACUAGGGGGUAGCGGAACGUAUGGUGUAGCAGUAAAAUGCGUUGAUAUCAUACGGAACACCAAGGGGGAAGCCAGCUACCUGGGGUUGUCCUGACGCUGAGAGACGAAAGCGUGGGGAGCGAAACGGAUUAGAUACCCGUGUAGUCCACGCUGUAAACCAUGCCUGCUAGAUGCCAGAUUUUUUUGGUGUCGAAGCUAACGCGUUAAGCAGGCCGCCUGGGGAGUACGGUCGCAAGAUUAAAACUCAAAGGAAUUGGCGGGGACCCGCACAAGCGGUGGAGCAUGCUCUUCAAUUGGCUGAUAACCCAAGAACCUUACCAAGGCUUGACAUGUAUGAAGUAGUGGACCGAAAGGCGAACGACCGGUAUCCAACCCGGAGCUUACACAGGUGUUGCAUGGCUGUCGUCAGCUCGUACCGUGAGGCGUACCCUUAAGUGGGUUAACGAGCGCAACCCCUACUGCUAGUUGUAUCACUCUAGCGGAACUGCCGCGGCAACGCGGAGGAAGGUGGGGAUGACGUCAAGUCGGUAUUGCCCUUACGCCUUGGGCUAGAAGCAUGCUACAAUGGCCGGCAUAAAGGGUCGCAAAGCCGCGAGGCUGAGCUAAUCCCAAAAAACCGGUCCCAGUUCGGAUUGGAGUCUGCAAUUCGACUCCAUGAAGCCGGAAUCGCUAGUAAUCGUGGGUCAGCUAUACCACGGUGAAUACGUUCUCGGGUCUUGCACACACUGCCCGUCACGCCAGCAAAGCUGGGGCCACCCGAAGUCUCACAUUAGUGGGCUCACGGUGGAAUCAGUGAUGAGGGUGAAGUCGUAACAAGGUAGCCGUAGGGGAAUCUGCGGCUGGAUCACCUCCUUUCUAAGG
rnacentral:rRNA from 1 species